rnacentral:rRNA from 1 species
AUUGAACGCUGGCGGCAGGCCUAACACAUGCAAGUCGAACGAGUGGCGGACGGGUGAGUAAUGUCUGGGAAACUGCCCGAUGGAGGGGGAUAACUACUGGAAACGGUAGCUAAUACCGCAUACCAUCGGAUGUGCCCAGAUGGGAUUAGCUAGUAGGUGGGGUAACGGCUCACCUAGGCGACGAUCCCUAGCUGGUCUGAGAGGAUGACCAGCCACACUGGAACUGAGACACGGUCCAGACUCCUACGGGAGGCAGCAGUGGGGAAUCUUGGACAAUGGGCGAAAGUCUGAUGCAGCCAUGCCGCGUGAAUGAAGAAGGCCUUCGGAUCGUAAAGUACUGUCAGCAAGGAGGCGUUACUCAACGAGGAAGCACCGGCUAACUCCGUGCCAGCAGCCGCGGUAAUUC